rnacentral:rRNA from 1 species
CUCCGGUUGAUCCUGCCGGACCCGACUGCUAUCAGAGUGGGACUAAGCCAUGCGAGUCGACGUAGCAAUGCGUGGCGAACGGCUCAGUAACACGUAGUCAACAUGCCCAGGGGACGUGGAUAACCUCGGGAAACUGAGAAUAAACCACGAUAGGUCACGAUUUCUGGAAUGGAUCAUGGCCUAAAUCUACAUGGCCCCUGGAUUGGACUGCGGCCGAUCAGGCUGUUGGUGAGGUAAUGGCCCACCAAACCUAUAACCGGUACGGGCUCUGAGAGGAGAAGCCCGGAGAUGGGCACUGAGACAAGGGCCCAGGCCCUAUGGGGCGCAGCAGGCGCGAAACCUCUGCAAUAGGCGAAAGCCUGACAGGGUUACUCUGAGUGAUUUCCGCUAAGGGGAUCUUUUGGCACCUCUAAAAAUGGUGCAGAAUAAGGGGUGGGCAAGUCUGGUGUCAGCCGCCGCGGUAAUACCAGCACCCCGAGUGGUCGGGACGAUUAUUGGGCCUAAAGCAUCCGUAGCCGGUUCUGCAAGUCUUCCGUUAAAUCCAGCCGCUCAACGGAUGGGCCGCGGAGGAUACUACAGGACUAGGAGGCGGGAGAGGCAAGCGGUACUCAGUGGGUAGGGGUAAAAUCCUUUGAUCCAUUGAAGACCACCAGUGGCGAAGGCGGCUUGCCAGAACGCGCUCGACGGUGAGGGAUGAAAGCUGGGGGAGCAAACCGGAUUAGAUACCCGGGUAGUCCCAGCUGUAAACGAUGCAGACUCGGUGAUGGGCUAGCCUUGUGCCAGCCCAGUGCCGCAGGGAAGCCGUUAAGUCUGCCGCCUGGGGAGUACGGUCGCAAGACUGAAACUUAAAGGGAUUGGCGGGGGAGCA